rnacentral:rRNA from 1 species
UACGGAGGGUGCAAGCGUUAUCCGGAUUCACUGGGUUUAAAGGGUGCGUAGGCGGGCAUUUAAGUCAGUGGUGAAAUACGGUGGCUCAACCAUCGCAGUGCCUUUGAUACUGAUGGGCUUGAAUCCAUUUGAAGUGGGCGGAAUAAGACAAGUAGCGGUGAAAUGCAUAGAUAUGUCUUAGAACUCCGAUUGCGAAGGCAGCUCACUAAGCUGGUAUUGACGCUGAUGCACGAAAGCGUGGGGAUCGAACAGG